AGCUUUGCCUGCUAUCUCUUACCCAUGUCUUUUAAGUACCUUACGUUUCCUCGGCGGGUCCGCCCGCCGAUUGGACAAUUUAAACCAUUUGCAGUUGCAAUCAGCGUCUGAAAAAACUUAAUAGUUACAACUUUCAACAACGGAUCUCUUGGUUCUGGCAUCGAUGAAGAACGCAGCGAAAUGCGAUAAGUAGUGUGAAUUGCAGAAUUCAGUGAAUCAUCGAAUCUUUGAACGCACAUUGCGCCCCUUGGUAUUCCAUGGGGCAUGCCUGUUCGAGCGUCAUUUGUACCUUCAAGCUCUGCUUGGUGUUGGGUGUUUGUCUCGCCUCUGCGUGUAGACUCGCCUCAAAACAAUUGGCAGCCGGCGUAUUGAUUUCGGAGCGCAGUACAUCUCGCGCUUUGCACUCAUAACGACGACGUCCAAAAGUACAUUUUUACACUCUUGACCUCGGAUCAGGUAGGGAUACCCGCUGAACUUAAGCAUAUCAAA
rnacentral:rRNA from 1 species